rnacentral:rRNA from 1 species
AUGGAGAGUUUGAUCCUGGCUCAGGAUGAACGCUGGCGGUAUGCUUAACACAUGCAAGUCGAACGGUCUCUUCGGAGAUAGUGGCGGACGGGUGAGUAACGCGUGAGAACAUGCCUUUAGAUUGGGGACAACAGUUGGAAACGACUGCUAAUACCGAAUGUGCCUUAGGGUGAAAGAUUUAUUGUCUAGAGAUUGGCUCGCGUCAGAUUAGCUAGUUGGAGUGGUAACGGCACACCAAGGCGACGAUCUGUACUUGGUCUGAGAGGAUGACCAGGCACACUGGAACUGAGACACGGUCCAGACUCCUACGGGAGGCAGCAGUGGGGAAUUUUCCGCAAUGGGCGAAAGCCUGACGGAGCAAUACCGCGUGAGGGAGGACGGCUUUUGGGUUGUAAACCUCUUUUAUCAGGGAAGAAUCGAUGACGGUACCUGAUGAAUCAGCAUCGGCUAACUCCGUGCCAGCAGCCGCGGUAAUACGGAGGAUGCAAGCGUUAUCCGGAAUUAUUGGGCGUAAAGCGUCCGUAGGUGGUUUAUCAAGUCUGCUGUCAAAGCGUGCGGCUUAACCGCAUAAGGGCAGUGGAAACUGAUGAACUAGAGUGCGAUAGGGGUAACAGGAAUUCCCAGUGUAGCGGUGAAAUGCGUAGAUAUUGGGAAGAACACCAGCGGCGAAAGCGUGUUACUGGGUCUGCACUGACACUGAGGGACGAAAGCUAGGGGAGCGAAAGGGAUUAGAUACCCCUGUAGUCCUAGCCGUAAACGAUGACAACUAGGCGUGGUUCGUAUCGACCCGAGCCGUGCCGUAGCCAACGCGUUAAGUUGUCCGCCUGGGGAGUACGCACGCAAGUGUGAAACUCAAAGGAAUUGACGGGGGCCCGCACAAGCGGUGGAGUAUGUGGUUUAAUUCGAUGCAACGCGAAGAACCUUACCAAGGCUUGACAUCCUCGGAACCCUGAUGAAAGUUAGGGGUGCCUUCGGGAGCCGAGAGACAGGUGGUGCAUGGCUGUCGUCAGCUCGUGUCGUGAGAUGUUGGGUUAAGUCCCGCAACGAGCGCAACCCACGUUUUUAGUUGCCAGCAUUCAGUUGGGCACUCUAGAGAGACUGCCGGUGACAAACCGGAGGAAGGUGUGGAUGACGUCAAGUCAGCAUGCCCCAUACGCCUUGGGCUACACACGUACUACAAUGCGUCGGACAAAGAGCAGCCAGCCAGCGAUGGUGAGCCAAUCUCAUAAACCGACGCUCAGUUCAGAUUGCAGGCUGCAACUCGCCUGCAUGAAGGCGGAAUCGCUAGUAAUCGCAGGUCAGCAUACUGCGGUGAAUACGUUCCCGGGCCUUGUACACACCGCCCGUCACACCAUGGGAGUUGGUCACGCCCGAAGUCGUUACUCUAACUGCUUGCAGAGGAGGACGCCGAAGGUGGGGCUGAUGACUGGGGUGAAGUCGUAACAAGGUAGCCGUACCGGAAGGUGUGGCUGGAUCACCUCCUUA